UGCAAUUAUAUAAUGAGUCACAAGAGUAUAAAUAAUUGAACUACUAACCUCCAAAAUUGUGACUUUCACCCUUGCAAAUAGAGUCAAUGAGCAUUGAUGACUUUACAAUCAUAAGAUCUUUGACGAUGUCAUCUCAAACAGCCACAAAUCAGGCAAACCGUUAUAUAUCAUAAUAAAAUGCUCUAAUAAUAAACAAUGCAAGGAUAAUUCA
rnacentral:lncRNA from 1 species